CGGGUGCACUGAUCCGGCCGGGCCUUUCCCUCUGUGGAACCCCAUGGCCUUCACUGGCUGUGCGGGGGAAACAGGACUUUUACUGUGAAAAAAUUAGAGUGCUCCAGGCAGGCCUAUGCUCGAAUACAUUAGCAUGGAAUAAUAGAAUAGGACGCGUGGUUCUAUUUUGUUGGUUUCUAGGACCACCGUAAUGAUUAAUAGGGACAGUCGGGGGCAUCAGUAUUCAAUUGUCAGAGGUGAAAUUCUUGGAUCUAUUGAAGACUAACUACUGCGAAAGCAUUUGCCAAGGAUGUUUUCAUUGAUAAGGAACGAAAGUUAGGGGAUCGAAGACGAUCAGAUACCGUCGUAGUCUUAACUAUAAACUAUGCCGACUAGGGAUCGGACGAUGUUAUUUCUUGACGCGUUCGGCACCUUUCGAGAAAUCAAAGUGCUUGGGCUCCAGGGGGAGUAUGGUCGCAAGGCUGAAACUUAAAGAAAUUGACGGAAGGGCACCACCAGGGGUGGAACCUGCGGCUUAAUUUGACUCAACACGGGGAAACUCACCAGGUCCAGACACAGUGAGGAUUGACAGAUUGAGAGCUCUUUCUUGAUUCUGUGGGUGGUGGUGCAUGGCCGUUCUUAGUUGGUGGAGUGAUUUGUCUGCUUAAUUGCGAUAACGAACGAGACCUUAACCUGCUAAAUAGCCCGUACUGCUCUGGCAGUUCGCCGGCUUCUUAGAGGGACUAUCGG
rnacentral:rRNA from 1 species